rnacentral:lncRNA from 1 species
GAAGGAGGAGUGGAUAGCCUGAAAGCGCUCAUCCAGGUUCCAAGGACUGCCCUCAGUCACCAAGCCCUCUCAUGGCCUGUUUAUCCACUUCCGAGUGACCUUCUGUAAAUAGUGGGAUGUUAGUUCCAGCCUGACUCUUUUCUGUGUGGGUCCACUUGCUCUGCGGCAUUUAUUGACGGAGCUGUCUGCUGGCUGUAGGACUCUGAGUCCAUGAGUGAGCGAGCACAGGAGUGAAGAUGUCUGUAGAAGACACCGCAGGAGGAAGAGAGGUCUACAAUCAUAUGACACAAUCGCCAGAUGCAACCCCCCGGCCUACACAGUGCCGGCACUUCCAGAUAUGCUGUUAGAAUACUGGUCCUGGAA